GACGAACGCUGGCGGCGUGCUUAAUACAUGCAAGUCGAACGAUGAAGCCGGAGCUUGCUCUGGUGAAUUAGUAGCGAACGGGUGAGUAACACGUGAGUAACCUGCCCUUGACUCUGGGAUAACUGCGGGAAACUGUAGCUAAUACCGGAUACGACCCUCGGAGGCAUCUCCUGGGGGUGGAAAGAAUUUCGGUCAAGAGAUGGACUCGCGGCCUAUCAGCUAGUUGGUGAGGUAAAGGCUCACCAAGGCGACGACGGGUAGCCGGCCUGAGCGGGUGACCGGCCACACUGGGACUGAGACACGGCCCAGACUCCUACGGGAGGCAGCAGUGGGGAAUAUUGCACAAUGGGCGCAAGCCUGAUGCAGCAACGCCGCGUGAGGGAUGACGGCCUUCGGGUUGUAAACCUCUUUUAGCAGGGAAGAAGCGAAAGUGACGGUACCUGCAGAAAAAGCACCGGCUAACUACGUGCCAGCCGCCGCCGUAA
rnacentral:rRNA from 1 species